AAAAAUCACAUCCUCCUUCAAUUCAAAUUCAUCAAAAAUUACAGAUGGAAUAUAUGCACUAGCCUGCAUACAUUUUGCAUCUUCAACGUUGCUGAUGUAAUAAUUUCUCAUUAUCCACACUGGCAAGCCAGGCAGCCAAGACGUGUUUACAAGUGAAAGCAGAUCGAUCUUUUAGUACCUGUUGUCUGUAAUAUGAUAAAAGUCUUGUAAGAUUUUUUCAUAAUAUACAAGUUUAGAUGAACUAUUUUAACAUGUGCAAGGAAAAGUGUGUACAAUGCUCCAGAAUGUCCCUUGACUUGCAUCAACCAAUUGGCUUCAUUUGUACUCUUACAAGAUUCUGUUAUAAUCAC